rnacentral:rRNA from 1 species
UACGUAGGGCGCAAGCGUUAUCCGGAAUUAUUGGGCGUAAAGAGCUCGUAGGCGGUUUGUCGCGUCUGCUGUGAAAGCCCGGGGCUCAACCCCGGGUCUGCAGUGGGUACGGGCAGACUAGAGUGCAGUAGGGGAGACUGGAAUUCCUGGUGUAGCGGUGAAAUGCGCAGAUAUCAGGAGUAACACCGAUGGCGAAGGCAGGUCUCUGGGCUGUAACUGACGCUGAAGAGCGAAAACAUGGGGAGCGAACAGG